UUUAUCUAUAAGUUUAAAUUGUUAGUAUCACUGUAUCAGAGAUUUGUUGGAGGUUUUCAAUCCUAGCGGUUUAAUCAUUUAUUUAAUUGUCUCUGAUUCUUUUUGUAAGUUUCUCGAGUCAAUCUGUUGCUUAACAAUCUGGCUCCUUGGGCCCAUGAUUGUUCUGGGAUGUUGCCUAUAUGGUAUGCCAGCAGCUAUACU
rnacentral:lncRNA from 1 species